AAGAGGGAGGUAUAAAUAUCUGAUGCCGCCAUUGCUCUUUCCACUCCUGCAAGCCUUCCGUUAAGAUGGAAGCCGAACACUACCUUACGGCAAACGCCAAAGGUUGGACAAUGCAGACCUAUUCGAAGGUAUUGGAGCCAUUGGAGUUUGAUGGUAUUAGCCCAUUGUCCACGCUACAAUGAUGAUCUUUGAACUCUCUCUUGCCGAAUCCAACUUUGAAGAAACUUCUUAACCAGAUUCUGAGUAACCCAACGGAGCCCACCUCACUUCAAAAAGACUUGACGAGAUUUAAAAUCCCCUUUUUCUCACAGACUGUAUGGACAGAACAAGGAUGAUGGCUGCCUAGAAUGGUGGGAAUGUGAAAUAGAUUCAUAAACCUGGACUUCGGGCAGUUUGUCCAAUGGAGGACAUUGUUGAGACAUGAGAGUUGAUGGAGGACAUGGGAGUUGGUGGUGUGUUGAGAUUGUCCUAGUUUGAAAACCGCCCAUAAUUAAAGGUGUCAUGGCGCUGGUGUUUAGAGACUACUUCUACUCUAACCAAGGGUUCCUAGACUGGUCCAGUGUUCAUCUGCUACCCUGGUGUCCUUAAAACAUCUGGGUCAUCAUGUUAUUGGGGCAGUCACGCUAACCACAACGACGGAUGCCGUCUCAAUCCCGUGGCCAUGGCAGAUGUUUCUAAAAUGUCUGCCACGGGCAGGGUGUCGGACGGUGCCGACGUCUUUCCAUGAAGGCAGGAGCAAGACUGGGCCGGUGUUGAUCUGCCACACUGGCAUCCUCGGAUCUGGAUCAUCAUGUUAUCAGGGCAGUCACGCUAACCACAACGACACAUGCCGUCUCAAUCCCGUGGCCAUGGCAGAUGUUUCUAAAAUGGCUCACACGGGCCUUCACCAGGGUGUCGGACGGUGCUGACGUCUUUCCAUGAAGGCAGGAGCAAGACUGGGCCAGUGUUGAUCUGCCACACUGGCGUCCUCUAAUCUGGAUGAUCAUGGUGUCUUGGCGCUGGUGUCCAGAGACUACUUCUACUCCAACCAAGACUGUUCCAGUGAUCUGCCACACUGGCGUCUGCAAACCCAGAUCUGGGCCAACAUGACUCUGGUCAUGUGGAUGUUCGGGGCGGUCACGUUGACCAUAACGUCACACGAUGUUUCUUAAAUGUCUGCCAUGGGCCUUCACUAAGGUGUGGGGACGGUGCUGACUCUGUUCCAUUAACGCAGGACCUAGACUUGUCCUGUGACUGGCGUCCUCAAACCCAGUUCUGGGUCAUCUUGGUUCUCAGGUGGAAGAGGAACACUGCCUUACUGCUCACUACAAAGGUUGUGCAAUGAAGGCUAAAAUCCGAGACAGUAUGGACAGAAAAAGGAUGAUGGCUGCAUAGUUGACUGGUGGAAAUGUGAUCUAGCUUCACAAACCUGGACUUUGGCCAGUUAGGCCAAUGGAGGCCAUUGUUGAGACAUGGGAGUUGGUGCUGCGGUGAGAUCGUCAUAGUUUAAAAACCGCCCACAUUUGAAGGACCAUUUCUGUCAACGCCUCGACCCAUCAUUUUUCUUUAGGUGUCUUGGCGCUGGUGUUCAGAGACUACUUCUACUCCAACCAAGGGUUCCUCUGCGCUAGACUGGUCCAGUGAUCUGCCUCACUGGCGUCUACAAACCCAGAUCUGGGUCAACAUGUUAUCGGGGCAGUCACGCUAACCACAACGACGGAUGCCGUCUCAAUCCCAUGGCCAUGGCAGAUGUUUCUAAAAUGGCUCCCACGGGCCUUCACCAGGGUGUCGGACGGUGCUGACGUCUUUCCAUGAAGGCAGGAGCAGGACUAGUCCAGUGUUGAUCUGCCACACUGGCAUCCUCGGAUCUGGAUCAUCAUGUUAUCAGGGCAGUCACGCUAACCACAACGACCGAUGCUGCCUCAAUCCCAUGGCCAUGGCAGAUGUUUCUAAAAUGGCUCCCACGGGCCUUCACCAGGGUGUCGGACGGUGCUGACGUCUUUCCAGGAAGGCAGGAGCAGGACUGGGCCAGUGUUUAUCUGCGAGUCCUCAUAUCUGGAUCUGGAUCAUCAUGUUAUUGGGGUAGUCACGCUAACCACAACGACGGAUGCCGUCUCAAUCCCGUGGCCAUGGCAGAUGUUUCUAAAAUGUCUGCCACGGGCAGGGUGUCGGACGGUGCUGACGUCUUUCCAUGAAGGCAGGAGCAAGACUGGUCCAGUGUUGAUCUGCCACACUGGCGUCCUCUAAUCUGGAUGAUCAUGAUGGUGGACGUUUCGGGGGCGUUAACCAUAUGUUCACACACCAUGGGCCUUCACUGGGGUGUGUGGAUGGUACUGACGUCUUUCCAUGAACAAAGGAGCUAGACUGGUCUAGUGUCCAUCUGCCACACUGCAGUCCUCAAACCCAGAUCUGGAUCAUCAUGGUGGUCUGGAUCCUGUGGGUGCUUCUUACUGGUAGGUCACUGCAGUGCUGCUGGAAGUGUUGUCUACAAUAUGGCCACCCUCCUUCAUGUCUGCAACUUCCACAUCGUUGGGCUCAUGGAGUGAUUUUCAAUAAAAAACUUUGAAACCGGUUUAUGCUUGUCUAUCGAACUGAUUGUGGAUAAGGAGGACUGAUGUGAUUGCUUCUCAUGUUAA